AACGAACGCUGGCGGCAGGCUUAACACAUGCAAGUCGAACGCCCCGCAAGGGGAGGGGCAGACGGGUGAGUAACGCGUGGGAAUCUACCUAGUUCUACGGAACAACUGAGGGAAACUUCAGCUAAUACCGUAUACGCCCUAAGGGGGAAAGAUUUAUCGGAAUUAGAUGAGCCCGCGUUGGAUUAGCUAGUUGGUGGGGUAAUGGCCUACCAAGGCGACGAUCUAUAGCUGGUCUGAGAGGAUGAUCAGCCACACUGGGACUGAGACACGGCCCAGACUCCUACGGGAGGCAGCAGUGGGGAAUAUUGGACAAUGGGCGCAAGCCUGAUCCAGCCAUGCCGCGUGAGUGAUGAAGGCCUUAGGGUUGUAAAGCUCUUUCAGUGGGGACGAUAAUGACGGUACCCACAGAAGAAGCCCCGGCUAACUUCGUGCCAGCCGCCGCAGUAACAC
rnacentral:rRNA from 1 species